GAUGAACGCUGGCGGCGUGCCUAAUACAUGCAAGUCGAGCGAACGGACGAGAAGCUUGCUUCUCUGAUGUUAGCGGCGGACGGGUGAUUAACACGUGGAUAACCUACCUAUAAGACUGGGAUAACUUUGGGAAACCGGAGCUAAUACCGGAUAAUAUUUUGAACCGCAUGGUUCAAAAGUGAAAGACGGUCUUGCUGUCACUUAUAGAUGGAUCCGCGCUGCAUUAGCUAGUUGGUAAGGUAACGGCUUACCAAGGCAACGAUGCAUAGCCGACCUGAGCGGGUGGUCGGCCACACUGGAAGUGAGGCACGGUCCAGACUCCUACGGGAGGCAGCAGUAGGGAAUCUUACGCAAUGGGCGAGAGCGUGACAGAGCAAAGCCGCGUGAGUGAUGAAGGUCUUCGGAUCGUAAAACUCUGUUAUUAGGGAAGAACAUAUGUGUAAGUAACUGUGAACAUCUUGACGGUACCUAAUGAGAAAGCCACGGCUAACUACGUG
rnacentral:rRNA from 1 species